UUCCAGCUCCAAUAGCGUAUAUUAAUGUUGUUGCAGUUAAAAAGCUCGUAGUUGGAUUUCUGGGUUCUUCGCUAGCUUUGGUCCGCAGGGGCUUCAGUGGGCUGUUUGAAUCCAUCCUCAGGGGGACCCAUGCUGGUAUUCAUUUAUCGGUGUGGGAACGCCUGUCGUUUACUGUGAACAAAUUAGAGUGUUCAAAGCAAGGUGUACUUGAAUACAUUAGCAUGGAAUAAUAAGAUAGGACUUUGGUGGUUCUUUUUGAUAUUUUGUUGGUUUGCACGCCAAGGUAAUGAUUAAUAGGAGCAGUUGGGGGUAUUCGUAUUCAAUUGUCAGAGGUGAAAUUCUUGGAUUUAUAGAAGACGAACUACUGCGAAAGCAUUUACCAAGGAUGUUUUCAUUA
rnacentral:rRNA from 1 species